rnacentral:rRNA from 1 species
UACGGGGGGGGCUAGCGUUGUUCGGAAUGACUGGGCGUAAAGGGUGCGUAGGCGGCGAUAUAAGUCGAGCGUGAAAGUCCUGGGCUUAACCUGGGGAGUGCGUUUGAAACUGUAUUGCUAGAGGUCGACAGAGGAGAGUGGAAUUCCUAGUGUAGAGGUGAAAUUCGUAGAUAUUAGGAGGAACACCAGAGGCGAAGGCGGCUUUCUGGGUCGAAUCUGACGCUGAGGCACGAAAGUGUGGGGAGCAAAC